rnacentral:lncRNA from 1 species
CUGCUGUGGCUGAGCCUUGGGGUGAAGACAGGCAGCUGCUCCCAACCCCAGAACCUUUGCUGUCUUGGGACGGAUCACCGCUGCAAGAGGGGAAGUUGCUACUGUGAUGAAUUCUGCCAUGUGGCACCAGACUGCCACCCAGACCACAGUGUCCUCUGCAACCCUGCUUCUCAGAUGACCAAGAUGGUGCUGCAGAUGGUGCUGAGGAUGGAGAACCCACCAAGCCCCGCUAGGAGCCACCUAGACUGGAUGCAGAGCAUGAUUUGAAGAUUGUACCAGGAGAGC